UACGAAGGGGGGCUAGCGUUGCUCGGAAUCACUGGGCGUAAAGCGCACGUAGGCGGCUUGUUAAGUCAGGGGGUGAAAUCCUGGAGCUCAACUCCAGAACUGCCUUUGAUACUGGCGAGCUUGAGUUCGGGGAGAGGUGAGUGGAACUGCGAGUGUAGAGGUGAAAUUCGUAGAUAUUCGCAAGAACACCAGUGGCGAAGGCGGCUCACUGGCCCGAUACUGACGCUGAGGUGCGAAAGCGUGGGGAGCAAACAGG
rnacentral:rRNA from 1 species